CGCCGGGCGACUCGCCGUUCACUAAUUAGGUACAACUGAGCGUGGAACCCGGCUCAGGUGAAGGCACUUGGCGAGUAGGUUUCUGAGCAGAGCGUUCCUCCACCACCAGCGUUCUCCCGAGCAGGCCUCAGAUGGGAUCCCAAGGCCCUCCGGGGCUAGCAUGGCACCUGGGCCCGUGGGUUGCCGCAAUGCCAGGCAGUAGCCAGCUCUGGCUCGUGCAGACUUCUAGGCUGGGACUGGGAGCCCCAGGUGGUGCCCUCUGGGCAGUUUACCCUUCCGAGCCUCCGUCACUUCAUCUGCAAAAUGGGAACAGCCACCUCAAGCACACUGCCUAGCAGGAUGCUUGGCACAAAGCAGGUGCUCAGUGGAUGGCAAUUAAGCCUUCAAAUCCUAGAAAACAUUCCCAAGACACAAGUUUUAAGUGUGAAAGGCCAAAGAGUAAAGUUUCAAGAGGAAAACCCUGUCGAACAGCUCUACGACCUUGCAUUUCUGAAAUAGGACACAGGGACUAGCUCUGAAAAAAACUGCCCCAAACUGGAGACUCCUCAAGUGUCCAUUAAAGUAGAAAGGAUAAGUUAUUUGUGGUAUAUUCACGCAGUGGAGGUCCACAUGGUGAUGAGAAGAAAUGAUCUACAAUUAAAUGCAAUACCGUGGUGAACCUCACAAUAGACUGCUGAGCAAAAGAAGGCGGACACCAAAGAGGACUUACUGUAUGAUUCAAAGGUCAAAACCGAGCAAAACCAAGUCAUAGUAGCAGACGUCAAGACAGUGGUUGACCUGGGCAUAGCACAGUGACCAGAAGAGCAUGUGGCAGGAGUUCUAGGGCGACGUGUUUCUGGAUCUGAGUGUGCUCCAUUUGUGAAGAUUCAUUGAACUGUACAUUGGAUCUGUACACCUUCUCUGUAUAUGUUAUACAGAGGUGCGCUGGUAAACCUGCUUUCCAAGAAAAAUAAAAAUCCCUGAUGUGUAGUGUUGUUUGCCAAAUCCCAGGGUGUCAAUAUUGCCAUCAUGGUGGAUUUCAGGGUGGUUGCCAACCAUUAAGCAACAGGUCAUGAAUCUCCUGUAUUUUUAGCUAUUCACUCUUGUGAGCUGGUAUUUCUACUAAACAAACUAACAAACAAAAAGCCCACCCCAGAGAACCUCAAGGAAGAGAAUUCCUGAGUUCCGUUCCCAUUCCUCAGAAUGUCCCAUUCCAGAUGUUCAGAGGUCCUCCUGGAGUCUCGGGGCCUAGAGAGGAAGGACAGCAGGCAGGAGGGGAAGGGUUUGCUGUUCUGACUGUCUGCUGUCUCUAUGUUAGACUGAGGGGGGACCAGGUUUUAAGAACGUUUGUCCUUUCGAAGACUAGUUCGGCAAGCCAGUCUUUCUCUUCUCAUUCCCUUGCAAUAAUUAGCUUAGGUGUGGACAUGCGGCUGCAUUCUGGCCAAUGGCACAUGGCAGUGGUGAGCUGGGGCACUUCUGGGGAAAGUUGCAUCAGUGUCUGGGUUGAUGGUACCAUCUCGUGAUGCAGAAAAUGUUGGAUCAGGAAGAUGGAAAGCAUCUGGGUCCUCAGCGAUGUCCAUCCUGGACCAGUGACAUUGAGAACCCUAAAGCUGCUCCAUCUCAGGACUUCCCUGCCUAUGUGGAAAUGAUAAAUGG